rnacentral:lncRNA from 1 species
UCGCCUAUAUCAGAAUGGACAUCAUUUUUGCCUCUCUGAUUCGGAUGCUGACCAGCAGAUCUGUGGUUGAAAUGGUGGUUGUGCCCUGGAGAUGGUUCUAGAACUAGGGUUUUUGUGCCCUAGAGAUCUAGGCUUUUGGCUUAAGGUUAGGGUUUCAGGAGGCUAGGGUUUCUGAAUCAAGUCUAUCCUCUAGGGUUUCAAUCUUCUAAAGCUGUCUAGAGAUGCCUUUGAAUGGCCACG